UGUGCUUUGAUGAUUUGGUGACAGUACCCAGUAGGAGACUCAGAUGAAAAUGGUGUGCUUGACAUUAUGAUGAGGAUCCCUCAGAAACUAAAGGAGUAUCAAUUACCCCUUUUACCUUUUCCCUGAAAAGUGGUUAAAAGAUUAGACACUUGCAUCUGAUAAGCUGAAAAAGGAGACUUUAAAAAAUAGUGUUGGUGAAGUUCUUCAACAAUGUGGAAAUGAGCAUCUACAGCAAGACAGGAAUUGGUUGAAUCAUCUGGAAAAUGCAAUGCUGAAAGAUAUUUACUCUCUAGGAUGUGGAAAUGAGCAUCUACAGCAAGACAGGAAUUGGUUGAAUCAUCUGGAAAAUGCAACACUGAUGGACCUUAACCCUCCAAGAUAUUAAAAUAAAGAGCUACAGCCAGACAGGAAUUGGUGGAAAAACGUGGAAAAGGCAAGACUGAUAGACAUUGACCUUUCACAAUGUGAUAGUGAGCAGCCACAGCCAGACAGGAAAUGGUGGACAAACCUGGAAAAAGCAAGACUGAUGAAUGUUGACCUUCCAUAAUGUGGAAAUGAACAGAUACAGCCAGACAGGAAUUGGUGGAAGCAACUGGAAAUGCCAAGACGAAUGGAUGUUGACCCUUCAAGAUGUGGAAAGGAGCAGCUACAGCUACAGCCCGACAGAAAUUGGUGGAAUCAUCUGGAAAAUGCAAUGCUGAUGGACCUUAACCCUCCAAGAUAUUGAAAUAAAGAGCUAUAGCCAGACAGGAAGUGGUGGAAACAACCGGAAAAGACAAGACUGAUGGAUGUUAACUUUCCCAAUAGCAAGACUUAUCACUGUGGACAACUGUCACUGAUCAGCGUGCUUUGAUGAUUUGGUGACAGUACCCUGUAGGAGACUCAGAUAAAGUCAUGUGGAUGUGCUUGACAUUAUGAAUGACAAGGUCAGCCCUCAGAAAAUAAAAGUAUUGAAGAGACAAAUCCUUGUGAUCAUGUUUGGAGAAAGACAAAGAAAGAUGACAAUGCAGAAAGCCAGUGAAGCACACACAGCACAUCCAGUUUUUAUCCAAAACAAAUCUUUUUGAAACAUUUGUUUUGGAAAUGGGUGUCUGAGUUGUAAGAGGGUAUGGGGUCGCCCACUCAGACACGUGGGUUUUCUCCGGGUGCUCCGGUUUCCUCCCACACUGACCCCAUUCUUUUUCUCUAUCAAAUGUCAAUGAGAUAAUUAUGUAUCUUUGAAAAUAUUUUAAUUUAAAUAUUUUUUAUUAUUUGUUGUUUUGCUAUAAUUUUGAUUAGU